GCCUCACACCCACCCAUAGAUGAAGGUCUUUCCCCCACUGAAGUCAAAAAAGAAUAUCUCUAAAAGGUUUCAUCAGUAUGAACACUUAAAACAUGCAGAAAUAUUGUUGGAAGUGGGAACGUGAAAGGUGCUGCUAUGUUGCUAGAAGAAGUUCUCGAUCAAUGGAUGACAGUUAAUACUUUGGAUUUCUUCAUGCAGAUCAGAACUCUACACUGAAGCAAGCUGUUCAGUCAUGUCUUCAGGUCUAAUAUCUGAAUAUUAUGGAGCAGGUGGUACUAAUAUUAAUAAUCCAGUCAAAGUUUUUGUUCCAAAAUACAAUGACUAUUUGAUGGCCUAGCUUUAGGAUUAUAUUGAUCAUGAAACUUUUUUUCUUCUAAUAUUGGUGUCCUAUUUUCCAAGAAUUUUAUGUCUGUGGCCAAGACUAUUAAGUGUCUGUUCAAAUUUUACGCCCAUAUUUCUUACUAGCACUUUGGGUCUGUGGUGCAACCACAAGAAAACUCCCAUGGCAACACCUUCUUCAAUACCUUAUUUUAUUUGUUCAAGAGUUCAAUUUGACUGAUAGGCAAGAAUUGGCACCACUUCAAGAAUUCAUUGAGAAACUUUAAUUGAAAGAC
rnacentral:lncRNA from 1 species